AACAAGGCGUACCUGCGGACCUGCGGAGGGAUCAUUACCGAGUUUACAACUCCCAAACCCCUGUGAACAUACCUAUACGUUGCCUCGGCGGAUCAGCCCGCGCCCUGUAAAACGGGACGGCCCGCCCGAGGACCCCUAAACUCUGUUUUUAGUGGAACUUCUGAGUAAAACAAACAAAUAAAUCAAAACUUUUAACAACGGAUCU
rnacentral:misc_RNA from 1 species